CCUACGGGAGGCUGCAGUGGGGAAUAUUGGGCAAUGGGCGCAAGCCUGACCCAGCAACGCCGCGUGAAGGAAGAAGGCUUUCGGGUUGUAAACUUCUUUUAAGAGGGAAGCGCAAAAGACGGUACCUCUUGAAUAAGCCACGGCUAACUACGUGCCAGCAGCCGCGGUAAUACGGAGGUGGCAAGCGUUGUCCGGAUUGACUGGGUGUAAAGGGUGGGUAGCCGGGCUGACAAGUCAGAUGUGAAAUCCCGUGGCUCAACCACGGAACUGCAUUUGAAACUGUCGGUCUUGAGUAUCGGAGAGGCAGGCGGAAUUCCUAGUGUAGCGGUGAAAUGCGUAGAUAUUAGGAGGAACACCAGUGGCGAAGGCGGCCUGCUGGACGACAACUGACGGUGAGGCGCGAAAGCGUGGGGAGCAAACAGGAUUAGAUACCCUAGUAGUC
rnacentral:rRNA from 1 species